rnacentral:rRNA from 1 species
GACGAACGCUGGCGGCGUGCCUAAUACAUGCAAGUAGGACGCAGUUGCGAACGGGUGAGUAACGCGUAGGUAACUACCUAUUUGAGGGGGAUAACUAUUGGCAACGAUAGCUAAUACCGCAUACUAGUAGAUGGACCUGCGUUGUAUUAGGUAGUAGGUAGGGUAAUGGGCUACCUAGGCAACGAUACAUUGCCGACCUGGGGGGGGUGUCGGCCACACUGGGAAUGAGAAACGGCCCAGACGUCUACGGGAGGCAGCAGUAGGGAAUCGUUGGCAAUGGGGGGAAAGCUGACCGAGCAACGGCGCGGGAGUGAAGAAGGUUUUCGGAGCGGAAAGCUCUGUUGUUAAGGAAGCGGUACUUAACCAGAAAGGGACGGCUAACUACGUGCCAGCCGCCGCGGUAAUUC